GAUAUUUGAAUGACUUGAAACAUUAAAAUGCUUGUGGAAAGAUGGAGGGGUAGCUAUAGUCUACUUGCACUGAAGAUGGGAAGAAUUUCAAGUUUUCAGAAAGAUUGUUUCAAUGGGCCUUUUCUCAGGAAAAGAGAAAGUCCUGUUCAGUCCAUCAGGCAGUGUAUUUUGAAGAUCUUGAUUCUGCUUCUCUAAUCCUUAAUUUCCCUCUUUGUAAAAUAGGGUAGGUAUGGUUCAAUCUGAGCCCAAUGGUACAGCUCAGGAAAUAUUGGCAACUUAUGAUUAUAUUAAAGAGUUUUCACUGAAACCGGUUUGGCUCAGUGGAUAGAGCAUCGGCCUGUGGAC